GUUGCCUCUCGAAUAACCAGAAGGUUGAUUUAAUUCCACACCAUUUGGUUCAGACAGAGGCUUAUAGUAACACGCAGCAUAAAAGGUAUAACUUGUACCCAUUCUUCUUUAGUUUGGGAUGUUUCCUUUCAGCUUCGGAUAUUU